GACGAACGCUGGCGGCGUGCCUAAUACAUGCAAGUCGAGCGCUGAAGGCUGGUUCUUGUUGUAACUGGAGGAGACGCGAACGGGUGAGUAACGCGUGGGGAAUCAGCCUUUGGGCGGGGGCCAACAUAUGGGAACGAAUGCUAGUACCGAAUAAAAGCUUUAAACACAAGGUUUAAGCUGGAAUGAUGCAAUUGCAUCAAGCAAAGAUGAAUGCGCGGUUUAUUAGCUAGUUGGUGAGGUAAAGGAUCACCAAGGCGAGGAUACAUAGCCGACCGGAGAGGGUGAUCGGCCACAUUGGGACUGAGACACGGCCCACACUCCUACGGGCGGCGGCAGUAGGGAGUCUUGGGCAAUGGACGAAAGUCGGACCGCGCAACGAGGCGUGAGUGGAGAAGGUUUUCGGAUCGUAAAACUCUGUUGGUAGAGAAGAACGUUGGUGAGAGUGGAAAGCUCAUGUAGUGACGGUAACGACACAGAAAGGAACGGCUAACUACGUG
rnacentral:rRNA from 1 species